rnacentral:rRNA from 1 species
UACGUAGGUGACCAGCGUUGUCCGGAUUUACUGGGCGUAAAGAGCGCGCAGGCGGUCGUUCAAGUCGAGUGUGAAAGCCCCCGGCUCAACUGGGGAGGGUCAUUCGAUACUGAUCGACUUGAAGGCAGGAGAGGGAAGUGGAAUUCCCGGGUGUAGUGGUGAAAUGCGUAGAUAUCGGGAGGAACACCAGUGGCGAAGGCGGGUCGCUGGGCCGUAACUGACGCUGAGGAGCGAAAGCAUGGGGAGCGAAACAGGG